rnacentral:rRNA from 1 species
GUAAGGAAUAUUGGGCAAUGGUCGGAAGACUGACCCAGCCAUGCCGCGUGCAGGAAGACGGCCCUCUGGGUUGUAAACUGCUUUUAUCUGGGAAGAAAAAGGCCAUGCGUGGCAAAUUGCCGGUACCAGAUGAAUAAGCACCGGCUAACUCCGUGCCAGCAGCCGCGGUAAUACGGAGGGUGCGAGCGUUGUCCGGAUUUAUUGGGUUUAAAGGGUGCGUAGGCGGCUGAUUAAGUCAGCGGUGAAAGACUUCGGCUUAACCGGAGCAGUGCCGUUGAUACUGGUUGGCUUGAGUGUCGGAGGGGUACAUGGAAUUGAUGGUGUAGCGGUGAAAUGCAUAGAUACCAUCAGGAACACCGAUAGCGAAGGCAUUGUACUGGCCGACAACUGACGCUGAUGCACGAAAGUGUGGGGAUCGAACAGGAUUAGAAACCCUUGUAGUCC